rnacentral:rRNA from 1 species
UGGCUCGGUUAACGAUGUCGACUUGGAGGUUGUGCCCUUGAGGCGUGGCUUCCGGAGCUAACGCGUUAAGUCGACCGCCUGGGGAGUACGGCCGCAAGGGUAAAACUCAAAUGAAUUGACGGGGGCCCGCACAAGCGGAGGAGCAUGUGGUUUAAUUCGAUGCAACGGGAAGAACCUUACCUGGUCUUGACAUCCACAGAAGUUUCCAGAGAUGGAAUGGUGCCUUCGGGAACUGUGAGACAGGGGCUGCAUGGUUGUCGUCAGCUCGUGUUGUGAAAUGUUGGGGUAAGUCCCGCAACGAGCGCAACCCUUAUCCUUUGUUGCCAGCGGUCCGGCCGGGAACUCAAAGGAG